UUUCUUACCUAGUUUUAUUUCCGCAGACCUUGUGUUCUAGACUUUUUGUAAUCCGGAUUUCUCUUUAUCUAUUCAGUAUUCAGUUUUUGUACUUGAUUUCGUUUACUGUUGUUCAUUCUGUUAUCAUCCUGCUGUUACAUUGUUGUUAUCAUGUUUUCAAUUUGUUCAACGUUUAUGCUUUCUGUUAUGAUGUCUGAGUAGUGAAUAGGUUUCUGAGGAUGGGUUAGAGUAGUGUAGAAUUCUCAGUAUGCUAGGUGAUUGAGUAUUGAUUGAUAGAUCCCUUCUGGAUUAGUUGUUCUUAAUGCCUAUUGCUUUCUGAUCAACUGGAAUUUGAGCGUAGACAU
rnacentral:sRNA from 1 species